UUCAUUUUCUGGUCCCAUUUUCGUGUCUCAACUUUUGGAAGGUACCCCCAAUCAUCCCUAAAAUGGAUCUGGCCACUGUUAAAUCUGAUCCCUAAAUUCUUCCCCACCUUCAUCCCAUCUUCUAGAUCCAUGCCACCACCUGACUGGGCCGGAUUUUCAGAGGCAGCAUUGUCCACAGCUGCUGCAGCAACCUCUGUGGCAGCACUCCGGAUUUUCAAUAUUGUUUGAUCAGUGUGGGGUGGGUGUAAAGAUCUGCUUGAUUACUGAAGCAGCAAUUCUUCAUUUUGGGGCUGUCUGACUGGCAUUUUGGAGAGGUGGGUUCCUUGGUGUUUGGCCUUUUUGGGCUCUCGAGGUCUGUUUAGAGGGUGUUGAGUGAGCUAUGAGGUGAGGUGAAUUAUGCAUAUUUGGUUCUACGGAGAGGUAAUACAGUAUUGAUAUCAACAAUACCGAAGAUAGGAGGACAAUGAUGGGACCAUACUAGUUGAGUGGGUUUAAUCUCAUACAUUCAUUGGAAAUGCAUCACCAAGAAUGGAUGUUGUUCAAUUGCAUUUGUUGCAGGUGGUUGUUUGAACAGGUACAGUAAUGGUUUGCAUUCCUUCAUGUCGCAAUGUUUGAAGCUGGAUUUUGAUAUAGAAUGUUGUAAUGUCCAAAGCUAAACGUCGUUUAGAUGGAUUGGUAUUGGAAUUUGUUACGGUUUAUUAUUUAUUUGAAGCUGGAUGUUGCAAGGAUAACGUGUUCAUUUUCAUAUAAUUUCGGGGACUAUAAGUCUCGAACUUAAUUACUUUUAGGACAUCAUUCAAAUUAUGGAUAAUUUACCACA